UCACAAACACGGAAUGGUAACCCGUACAAGGUGUGGUUUGCCCGGAGGUAGUACUGAAGGCAUCGGUGUCUAGUAUCCAAAGUACUACUCUGUUCAGAAAGGAAAACCUGUGUUCAGUGGAUGUUUUUAGGGUUGAUUUUAUGUUUAUCGAAUCACUGUGUAAAAAUUCCAGUUGGAGCUUGGAUGGAAUACUCCUAUCUGUAUGGUUGGUUACCAUUCAUGAUUCACUGCUAAAUCAGACCUCCGCUGCAAAAAAUGUAAGCCGGAAAGACGCGUGUGUGCACAUGCAUACAUACACCUCUGAACAUACGGGGUUAAUUUCAUAUACAGCCUCACAUACCACAGCAAAAACAGCUUGAAAAAUUUGGCAAUAAUACACAUACAGGUACCAGCAAUAUGUAAAUAUAGAGCAUAGGUUGUUCACAAUACACUAGUACAUUUCUAUUGUUCAGCAAAAGUUUGUUUCCAAGUGAAAUAGGAAACUAAAUUUUCAUCCUUUCUUAAAUCUCUUUUUGAAUGUUAUAUCUAUUAAAAAAAGAUACUAUAUUCAGUACUUUGGAGUAAAACAUCAUCUUUAAUAAAAAAAAAAGUAAUCAUUCUCUUCUCUUUGAAUGAUCUGUAAAGAAUAUGUACAUUUUGUAGCAGUUAAGGUAAAGUUCAGUAUUUUAAUUAUAACUUUCAACCCAACUCACUGAAAAUACUCACGCAACCCCUUCGAGAUACAGAUAGGAGUUUCAUACUGUUUGGUUUCAGGUGGGCUCUUGAGUUAAAAGGAAAACUGUUCUUACUUUAGAGAAUGUUUUUAAAAAUUGCAUCCCCAGAUACCUCAAUUUGAGCUUGUGUGAAAGAGUGAGUGUGUGCGUGGGUGCGCGUGGGUGCACGUCUGCAAACCUUUGUGCAUUUGUAUGCACAAAGAUACAAAACUUUUUUUUUUUUUUUUUUUUUGCCAGCAGAAAAGUAACUGCAGUGAACACAAACAAAUUAUCACCUUGAGAGAACUGGUAACAUAGGAGAAGAGAGGCUCUCUACCCCCCUUUUGUCUAUAUGCCUGUAUAUUCAUUUUCAGUUUAUGGAUUUAAGGAAAAAAAAAAAA